UGAGGAAUAUUGGUCAAUGGGCGAGAGCCUGAACCAGCCAAGUCGCGUGAAGGAAGAAGGUCUUAUGGAUUGUAAACUUCUUUUGUAAGGGAAUAAAGUGCGUUACGUGUAGUGCAUUGCAAGUACCUUACGAAUAAGGAUCGGCUAACUCCGUGCCAGCAGCCGCGGUAAUACGGAGGAUCCGAGCGUUAUCCGGAUUUAUUGGGUUUAAAGGGUGCGCAGGCGGGGGAUUAGGUCGGCGGUGAAAUAUCAGGGCUCAACCUUGAGAGUGCCGUCGAAACCGGUUUUCUUGAGUGCGGAUGAAGUAGGCGGAAUUUGUGGUGUAGCGGUGAAAUGCGUAGAUAUCACAAAGAACACCGAUUGCGGAGGCAGCUUACUAAACCGCAACUGACGCUCAUGCACGAAGGCGUGGGGAUCAAACAGG
rnacentral:rRNA from 2 species